rnacentral:rRNA from 1 species
UACGGGGGGGGCAAGCGUUGUUCGGAAUUACUGGGCGUAAAGGGUGCGUAGGCGGCGCGGAAAGUUGGGUGUGAAAUCCCUCGGCUUAACCGAGGAACUGCGCCCAAAACUACCGUGCUUGAGGGAGAUAGGGGUGAGCGGAACUUAGGGUGGAGCGGUGAAAUGCGUUGAUAUCCUAAGGAACACCGGUGGCGAAAGCGGCUCACUGGAUCUCUUCUGACGCUGAGGCACGAAAGCUAGGGUAGCGAACGGG